CAUAAACCUAGCAUGUUAGCACAUGUUUGUCAUCUCAGUGCUCAGGACGUGGAGACAAGAGAAUCAUAAGUUCAAGGAGGUCAUGGGAACUUUAGGAGACCAGGCUUACCGGAAGAAGACGAUGGCUGGAAUGGGUCUUUGACAGUUGUGCCCGGUCCCUGCUUCCCUCCUCCAUUUCUGCUUUCUUGCUGCUGGGAGAUGAGCAUCUUUGUCCCAAAUGUCUGCUGCCAUGUCAUUCUUCCUUGCCUCCGGCCCAGAGCAAUGGAUCCAGCCUUAGACUGAAGCUCAGAAAUGAUGAGCCAUUCAGUGUGGUCCGUAAGAAACUCACUUUAAGUAAAAAGAUAUAUUUUUGUCAGGGAUGUGGAGUUGGGAUACAGAGACCUGAUCCAGCUGUUGCUGUGACCUGAGCAUAGGACACGGAGGCACUGUCAAGCAUCACUAUGGAAGAACAGGCUGCAGAGCUGUCUGGAUAUGGAAUGUUUGCACCCGCCCUGUGUUUGAACACUUGGUCCCUAGCUAAAUGUGCUGCAUGGAUAUAAGACGCCAUGCCACAAGCUCCUGACUCUACAGACUGAGCAGCACGGCUGCCAUGUCAUCCUCACGAUGAUUGACUGCAUCCCUUGAAACCAUUAGCCCAAAUAAAAUCCUUCUUGCCUGAA
rnacentral:lncRNA from 1 species